AUUAACAAAAAACAAUUCUCCUUUCUCCUCUCCAUAGAUCGAUCAUGUCUUUGUGAUGUUGAACAGAAGAAGUACUCCACCAACUCUUUGCAAGAAAAGGUGUUUUUAGUUUUUGUGAGGAAAUCAUGAUAUUCAGAUUAUGGUAUAAGCUGGAGACAGCAUUUUCCUUGCCAAAGCUUAUUAUGCUGAUGCUAUUGGUCCUUGCUAUGGAAUUUCCAAAUAUUGUGAUGUUUUUUGGAUAUGUUGCUCAUUUUAGCUUUUUGGAAGAUCAGCAGCAGGAGUUGCCAAUUCACUCAAGGACG